GUUAGGAAUAUUGGACAAUGGGCGCAAGCCUGAUCCAGCCAUGCCGCGUGAGUGAUGAAGGCCUUCGGGUUGUAAAGCUCUUUAGUCCACGAAUAUAAUGACUGUAGUGGAAGAAUAAGCCCCGGCUAACUUCGUGCCAGCAGCCGCGGUAAUACGAAGGGGGCGAGCGUUAUUCGGAAUCACUGGGCGUAAAGCGUGCGUAGGCUGUUUUGUAAGUCAGAAGUGAAAGCCCAGGGCUUAACCCUGGAAUUGCUUUUGAAACUACAAGACUCGAAUUCGGGAGAGGAUAGAGGAAUUGUCAGUGUAGCAGUGAAAUGCGUAGAUAUUGACAGGAACACCAGUGGCGCAAGCGGCUAUCUGGACCGAUAUUGACGCUGAGGCACGAAAGCGUGGGGAGCAAACAGGAUUAGAUACCCCGGUAGUCC
rnacentral:rRNA from 1 species